CGGAGCGCCGCGGACGUCAUGGAGCGGCGCCUGGGCCUCUGGUUGAGCGCGAGGCGCGAGUGAUCGGUCGGUGGUUUCCCUCGCGGGGCCCUGGCCCCGAGUCCGGAAUCGAGGCCGGAGUCGGUACCGGGGAAGAGGAGAAGGGCGGGAUUCCCUCAGGGGAAGAAUCCAGCCUGGCAGGAGGAGACUGCAGGGCGAGGCGGCCAGUGCACAGAGGCUGAUCGCGGCGCAGCUGAUGCCUCCGAGCUCUGACGCCGGCGUGGGGGCUCCUUCCCAGCUGCUCCGGUUGUAUCGGGAAGGAUGACCACGCUCACGCGACAGGACCUCAACUUUGGUCAAGUGGUGGCCGACGUGCUCUGCGAGUUCCUGGAGGUGGCGGUGCACCUGAUCCUCUACGUGCGUGAGGUUUACCCGGUGGGCAUCUUCCAGAAGCGUAAGAAGUACAACGUGCCUGUCCAGGCUCAGCCCUCUCAGUCCCCAGCGGCCUGGCCUUGCCUUCUAGUUCCCGGCAGCUGCUGAUAGCCCGACAACCUCUCACCGCAGUGGCGUUUCCUUCUGUCCCCUCUGAACUGGGAGUUCCCCUUGCUAGAAGUUAGGGACCAGGCCCUCCGAUUAGAGCCCCCCAGCCCCCCAUCUUUGUAUUUUAAAGCUUAAAAGAUACACAGGGGGGAAAAAAACCCCCAAAAACAAACAAACAAAAAGAUAUGCAAGGAAAAGGAAAAAAAGAAUCAGCACUUACUGAGCACCCACCGUGUACUAGGUACUUAUCUCACUUAAUCCUCACUUUUUUUUUAAAUGAGAUCUUCCACAGAUGAAGUAACCAAAGCACAGAGAAGUUAAGCCUGAGACCGCACAACUCCUUAGUUCCAGAUUCUUUUUUAAAUUUUAUUUAUUUAUUUAUUUAUUUAUUUUUGGCUGCAUUGGGUCUUCGCUGCUGCGCGCGGGCUUCCUCUAGUUGCGGCGAGAGGGGGCCGCUCUUCGUUGCGGUGCGCAGGCUUCUCAUUGCGGUGGCUUCCCUUGUUGCGGAGCACCGGCUCUGAAGGCGCGCGGGCUUCAGUAGUUGUGGCUCGCGGGCUCUAGAGCGCAGCCUCAGUAGUUGUGGCGCACGGGCUUAGCUGCCCCGCGGCGUGCGGGAUCUUCCCAGACCAGGGCUCUCCCCUGCAUUGGCAGGCAGAUU